rnacentral:ncRNA from 1 species
AUAAACUUUUAAGUACAGUCGACUCAAAACUGGAACGGACAAGGGGAAUCCAAUUGUUUAAUCGAAACAAAGAAUUGUGAUGGUCACUGCGGAUGCUGACACAAUGUGAUUUAUACCCAGUCCUCUGCACGUUAAAGUGAAUAAAUUCAACCAAGCAUGGGUAAACAGUGGGAAUAACUAUGAAUAUCUUAAGGUAUCCCAAUGCCUCGUCAUCUAAUUAGUGGAUUAACGAGAUUCCCAUUGCCCCUAUCUACUAUCUGGAUAAACCAAAAUCAAGGGAACAUGCUUGGAAGAAUUAAUGGGGAAAGAACACCCUGUUGAGAUUGAAUCUAGUUCGACUUUGGGAAAUGACUUGAAACAUGUAGAAUAGUUGGGAGUCAUUUUCAAUGAAAGUGAAAUACCACUACUUCUAACAUCAUUUUACUUAUUAUCUGGGGCGGAGAUGGGGAAUUUCCAUUGUUUUGGCCAUAAGACAUGUUUUGGCAGGUCGAUCUAGGUAGAAGACAUUGUCAGGUGAGGAGUUUCACUGGGGUGACACAUCUGUUAAAAGAUAAUGUAGGUGUCCUAAGAUGAGCACAACGAGAACAUAAAUCUCAUGUGGAAAAAAAGGGUAAAAUCUCAUUUGAUUUUCCACGAACCUCUUGAUACUUAUAGUUCAUUGAUGGAUAUGAAUUAAUACAUCAAUUAGAUGUUUUCAUGCAUCAACAUAGUUAAUUUAAAAUAUUAAUUUCCUGGGU